rnacentral:ncRNA from 2 species
UAAAAGGUCGACGCGGGCUCUGCC